AUUGAACGCUGGCGGCAUGCCUUACACAUGCAAGUCGAACGGUAACGCGGGGUAACCUGGCGACGAGUGGCGAACGGGUGAGUAAUGCAUCGGAACGUGCCCAGUAGUGGGGGAUAGCCCGGCGAAAGCCGGAUUAAUACCGCAUACGACCUACGGGUGAAAGCGGGGGAUCGCAAGACCUCGCGCUAUUGGAGCGGCCGAUGUCAGAUUAGGUAGUUGGUGAGGUAAAGGCUCACCAAGGCGACGAUCUGUAGCGGGUCUGAGAGGAUGAUCCGCCACACUGGAACUGAGACACGGUCCAGACACCUACGGGUGGCAG
rnacentral:rRNA from 1 species